rnacentral:rRNA from 1 species
UACGUAGGGUGCAAGCGUUGUCCGGAAUUAUUGGGCGUAAAGAGCUCGUAGGCGGUUUGUUGCGUCGGCUGUGAAAUCCCGAGGCUCAACCUCGGGUCUGCAGUCGAUACGAGCAAACUAGAGUGUUGCAGGGGAGACUGGAAUUCCUGGUGUAGCGGUGAAAUGCGUAGAUAUCAAGAGGAACACCAGUGGCGAAGGCGAGUCCCUGGACAACUUCUGACGCUGAGGCACGAAAGCUAGGGGAGCAAACAGG